rnacentral:tRNA from 1 species
GCUUAUAAAGCUAAUUUUAUGCAGCGUCGGUCUUGUAAACCGAAAACAGAAUUCACCUUCUAUAAGCU